UAGCCAAGUGAUUAUGGCUCUGGAUCGUUAAUCCGGAGAAGGUGAGUUCGAUUCUCGU
rnacentral:tRNA from 1 species